rnacentral:rRNA from 1 species
AUGCAGUCGAGGGGUAUAAGUCUUCGGAUUUAGAGACCGGCGCACGGGUGCGUAACGCGUAUGCAAUCUACCUUUCACAGAGGGAUAGCCCAGAGAAAUUUGGAUUAAUACCUUAUAGUAUUACGACUUCGCAUGGAGAUGUAAUUAAAGAUUUAUCGGUGAAAGAUGAGCAUGCGUCCCAUUAGUUAGUUGGUAAGGUAACGGCUUACCAAGACUACGAUGGGUAGGGGUCCUGAGAGGGAGAUCCCCCACACUGGUACUGAGACACGGACCAGACUCCUACGGGAGGCAGCAGUGAGGAAUAUUGGACAAUGGGCGCAAGCCUGAUCCAGCCAUGCCGCGUGCAGGAUGACGGUCCUAUGGAUUGUAAACUGCUUUUAUACAGGAAGAAACACCUCUACGUGUAGAGACUUGACGGUACUGUAAGAAUAAGGAUCGGCUAACUCCGUGCCAGCAGCCGCGGUAAUACGGAGGAUCCAAGCGUUAUCCGGAAUCAUUGGGUUUAAAGGGUCCGUAGGCGGAUUUGUAAGUCAGUGGUGAAAUCUCCCCGCUCAACGGGGAAACGGCCAUUGAUACUGCAAGUCUUGAAUUAUUAGGAAGUAACUAGAAUAUGUAGUGUAGCGGUGAAAUGCUUAGAGAUUACAUGGAAUACCAAUUGCGAAGGCAGGUUACUACUAAUGGAUUGACGCUGAUGGACGAAAGCGUGGGUAGCGAACAGGAUUAGAUACCCUGGUAGA